UUGAUGAAGGGCCACAUGAGCAAAAGAAGAGGAAGAUAAUCCAUCCAAAGUGGUGAGCCGUGGAGGAAACAGCAUGGCUCUCCCUGUCCUCUUAGAAAGAGGCUACCAGAGGACAUGAGCCCACAGCCUGAAUGCUCCACCCAUCUAAUCCUGGGAAUGAAAUGAAGCCCCGGAAGCCUGGAAACUAGUUGGACAAUGGACACACCUUGGUCCUGCUCUGCUCUGAGGAAUGUCAUAGAUGCUCAUGCACUUUAGCAGAAAGACACAAGACUAGAAAUCAAGCAGCCUGGGUUCAAGUCCUGCUGUACAUCUAAGGAGCUGUGUAACCUCUGGGCUAUUCCUUAACCUCUCUGAACCUUUGCUUCCUGAGGAGUUCGGCCUCCAUGAUCUCCAAGUUCCUUGCCAACUCUGUGUCAUUUUUGCUGAUCCAUCCACAUUCUUUCUCCUGACCUUACGACUGACAACCUUCAUUGGAUAAACAGCCACACCACGGUGGGCGAGCCUGCAGAGCCAAAAGUUAUCGGAGGUAUAAUGUGGGUCUGUGACAUACAAUGUGCCCUUGAACUGCAUGAAAGGUCUUACAUUGUUUGUCUUCAUUCUCUCCCGAAGCCCUGCUCCAACAGUUUUGUCACCAUCUGCCCCACAUUUCAGUAGAGAACAGUGAAGCUCAGUAAGAGUCUUGCUACUGAACAGUUAUAGGGGCUCUCACCUGGCAGGUGCUCAAUUAAAGUGUGUGCAAUACCUAGGCCAUUUCUCUGCUUAAACCCUUCCUCCUGGUUGCAUGUAGUUGCCCUUGUGCGACUCCAUGCACUUCUGAUAAAGUCUGGACUUCCUCAUCCUCAGAAGACGCUUUAGCACCUCCGUACCCUCCCAACCACCCUACGGAUAGGCUGUUUGGCAAUGGUGAGGAACAGUUUUGGUCAGAGGUAUUUGGCCUCAGAAGGACAUGGGCAAGGGCGUGGUUUCUGGGGCACAUCUGUUCAGAGGGCACGUUUGUUCUGCUCCCUUGAGAGGUAAAAGGGAAGGAGGCAAACAGAACCACUCCCCAGCUCUCCGGAGUUUGCUGAUCAAGCCUGAGGGUGGUGAGGGGGUGCAGCCACCAGGAGAAGCAGGAACAGGCAAAAUAGGAAACUCUCAAAGGGCAAUUUAAUUUUAGACUCAAGGCCAGGAAAUUCUUUUUAAAACAAUAAGAGUAAUGGGCUUGGGCCUUGGUGAAAGUGCAGGCCUGACACGCUGCAGGUUUCUGCAGAAAAAAUUCUGAAGCACAGAGGGUUGUAGAGAAGGGGAUGUCUAAUUAUGCUCUUAAUGCAAAGCUGUGCUUAGCUUCCCUAGGGACCCCCUGGGGAAGCACACAAAGUCGGAGGUAGUGCAGCCAACACCAACACUACAACUCAUACCAGCCUGAGACCAGGACAGCCUCCACUCACAGCCAACACUCGCUGAAACAGGCUGAAGGACGGGGAGGGGGUGGAACUUGAGACCACAGUCCUGGGGACCUGCAGUUGACACUCUCUUGCUGAGAGGUCUUAGGUGAGAGACAUUUUAUUUGUAAGCUUCUAGAUCUGCAGGUUUCAAGUUGCCCCUCGCUUAGCAUGAAGCCUUCAGAAGCCCAGUGGUACCAUGGGUGACAGCUUUAGGCAUCUUGUGGUAUGGAGAUGGAGACUGAGGCUGACUCAAAACCUGGUUAUGGACACGGUUGGUGGAACUUGCCAUGGCCAGAAGACUAUCCAGUAAUUUCAAUUUGCUCAGCAAUCUACACAAUGGAGUUUGGGUUUUUUGUUUUUUUUUGUUUUUUCCAGAAUCAGGAAAAACUAAUUUUUCAUAAACAAGGCAUACAAAUACAUGAAUGAAAAUACAUUAUAAGUUCUUACAUAUCACCAAAUAUCAAAUAAAUAAAUAAAUAAAUAAAUAAAUAAAAUAAAUGUGUUUGUAAGGAGUUGUUAUGGAUGUGUUCCCCCAAAUUUAGAAGUUGAAAUGUAAAACACCAAUGUGAUAAUAUUAACAGGCGGAGGCAUUAUGAGGUGAGUAAGUUGUCAGGGCAAAGCCCUCAAGGAUGGGACUAGGACCCUUUAAAAGGACCUGAAGGAAUGGGUUUGGCCUCUUCCCUCCCUUCCGCCACUGAGGACACAGCGUUCAUCCCCUCUAGAGAAUGCAGCAGGAAGGGUCCAUCUUGGAAGCUGAGACGGGACUCUCACCAGACACAGAGACUGCCAAUGCCUUGAUCUUGAACAUUCCAGCAUCCAGAACGGAUUCCCAGAGAGAAGGAAAGGGUGUCUUCACUAGGCUUCAUGGUAGCAAGCACAAUCACUGCAUAAGAAGUGCAGGGACAGCAGAGUGACCCUUCUGUGAACACAUCCAAUGACUGGAGUCCGGAGGCCUAUGGGCUGGAAGUGAGUGUGCCAACAACCAGAGCCCUGGGUAAGAAGGGAACUGCAUCGCAAGGAGGCCCAAUUAAACUGCAAUUACUCAAGAUAAGAAAACGAGGUCUGUUUACACAAUGGGGUUGUAAACCACCGGCUGUGACAAGAGAACUUUGAUCUGGUGGCAAGGGAGCUGUUUCUCAUGCAGGGCAGUGAUGAAACAAGGAGGUUUCCCAAUGAGGAUGUCUCCAUCUUCACCCCAGUAGCCCCAUCUUCUUCUGGUAGCACCCUUGCAUGGACAAGCGGAAAUCCUCACCCCUUCCCAGCCCCAGUAUCCACCUAACACAAUCAAAAAGUGAAGAAUAGAAAGAGAUGAGAUAGUGACUAAAAGGAAAAGAGAAUUGAUGGAGGUCAUCUUUGUGGAGGCGCUUGACAAGCAUGUUCUCACUGAACCGUCACAGUGACCUUCCACGUACCUUAUACCAUGCCUAUUUUACAGAUGAAGACACUGAGGUUCAGAGGAGGUAAGUAAUUUGCCCAAGAUCAAAUAGCUAAAGAGUACCAGACAGGGCCGGGCGCAGUGGCUCACACCUGUAAUCCCAGCACUUUGGGAGGCUAAGGUGGGCAGAUCACGAGGUCAGGAGAUCGAGACCAUCCUGGCUAACACAGUGAAACCCCGUCUCUACUAAAAAUACAAAAAAUUAGCUGGGCACGGUGGUGGGCGCCUGUAGUCCCAGCUACUCAGGAGGCUGAGGCAGGAGAAUGGCGUGAAUCUGGGGGGCAGAGCCUGCUGUGAGCCGAGAGGGCGCCACUGCACUCCAGCCUGGGCGACAGAGCAAGACACCGUCUCAAAAAAAAAAAAAAAAGAGUACCAGAGUACCAGACAGAAUUUACUCCAGGUCUUUCUGAUUCUAAAACCCAAGUGCUUUCCACUAGAAUUUGGCUGGGACCCAUUCCACAGCUGCCUGGACCAGGAGUAAAGGCUCUAUCUCAUGUCUGGUGUCAAGAAGACAGUGUAAGGUGCGUUGGCUUCUGCCUCACCAGAGGGCCUGAAGGUGGAAAUAGAGUCCUGUGGAUCAAUCAACCAGUCGAUCAAUCAAUUACGGAAGGAAGAAAGAAAAUGUACAAAAGAGGAAUUGCCCAAAAGGUUUUGUGACAGGGAGCUGCUCUGAGGGCCGUGGUUAAUUUGGAGCUCUUUUUCUGCAAUGCACUUAGCUAAGCCUCAUGGCAGGACUACCCUCUAUGCUGGUACCAACUAGAGAUUCAGCUGACCCCCCAGGUACCCAUGUCCCACUGGAACUGCACAGGAGGGACGGAGGCCAAUGCCCAGAGCUGGCAAUGACUGACAGCCUCCCUGGGGUCCCUCCCAAGGUGACAUCCAGCAUGAACUCAGGCUUA
rnacentral:lncRNA from 10 species